rnacentral:lncRNA from 1 species
GAACCUUCGCUUGCCGCAAAAGGAACGAGCCGCAGUUAAAUCAAGAGAUAGAACCCGGUAAUUUUGGCCUCCCCGAUCAUCUACUCUUUAUGAUAGGCUCGACUAAGAACAGCUCGAAAAGGACUUCCUAGCAUCCGCCACCACGAACACACAGCCAGACAAGAGGCCAAGACCGCAUCACACUAAGAUCGAGCAUUUAUUGGACGCAAACACCACCAAGGAUGCUAGCGAAAAGGACAUACAAAAAAGGCUGAAGGCAACAACAACUCAACACCAGCAUUUGGGAUCCUCUAAGCAACCCGUAAGAAUCCAUCCACCGAAGGCAGCACGCAAGCGGCCGACUCCAGCACUGGGAUGAUGAGCUCAAACCAUAGCUACACCAAGACUCCAGCAGCCGUAGACAACACG